CGGCCCGGGGUAUUUUUCGUCGCCAGACGCGCUACAUAGGGAGCGGAUGAGAUAUAAGGAGAAAGGGGAGGGGAUUCGUGGCAAAAUUCCAUUUCGAAAAGUCUGCCAAGACGUUUCGGUGGGUACCGGCGCGGGCGGCGGCGCGGCGGUUCCGUCGCGAGACUCUCGAGAGCCAGUCGACGAUUCGCAGCGAUCGAAGGAAAUGGUAUUCGAAACCGUCUUAUUUCGCGAGGCGCCGCGCCGCCUAUUUUGCCGCAUAUCGAUCCGAUAUUGCCGGCAAUAGCGAUAAAACCUGCAUUCCAUCGUAUCCGGCACGAGACGGCUUAAAUCGACGUUCGCGGCAACGUCUCCGAAAUACCCAGCGUGUAAACAAAUGCAGGACAUUGUGCGGCUUACACUAAAAUACUGUGAAUACGUUGCCAUAUAUCGUUAAUGCAUUGCCGUACAAAGGAUUUCAAUUAUUUAUACAACGAUGGCUUAUUCAUGGAUCUCCGUAAGAGUAAUAAAAAUUCUGAUGAAAAUGCCUCAUUCCAUCCGCGGCAUCGCGUUUCUAUUUAUUACGGAAUUAAUUGAUUAUGCCGGAACACAUUAGUAAAAGGUACAUGACACGUAAUGCAUAAAGUAUACUGCAAUAAAGCGGGAGAUUAGAGUAAUUACAAUAGCAUUCGUUUGAGCAAUGGUUUCGCUUGAGAAGAAUGCUUUAAUCAACCCAUUUUCCUUUCUUUGUACUGCGAAUACAAUGAUGAAAUCGAUAAUCUCGCCACGCUAUUAUUGCAUUAAUAUAAUGCGAUAAAUAACAUUUAAUCAAAUCGAACGUUCCCAGUUUUCGUGUUAUCUAUUUGGCCGAGCUAAGCGAAAUAUAAUUAAACAAACGGUGAACGACCUUUGUAAAAAUAACAUAUGAUAGAUUAAAACAUCCUCUACUCGGAAUAUUGCAAUUUGGUUGAUGCUAACAAGAAUAUUUCUGGUAUUGGAAUAUCGGACUUUUUCUAUUCGAUGGUACUUCAUUCAUUACAUAUAACGAACGUAUUGAUAUAUAAAAUACGACAUUUCACCGGGUAAAUUAAUCUUUUCUCAAGCAAUAAUUUAAUUUCUAAAAAUUUAAUGAAAGGUAUAUAAUAAUAUUCUAUUACUAAUAUAGGAAAUAGAUAUAAUAUUUUUAAUUGAAGAUUUAAUUUAUCCAAAGAUAUCCGAAAUAUAUUUGUAGAAAUAAAGAAAAAUUAACGAAACCGACUGACAUGAGAUUUGAACUCAGAGAAUUUUUCGUUGCACCUAGAGUGCUAUAUCACUAUUGCAUCAGUGCUCUCAUAAUUAUUUUAGUCAUUUAUGAAUACUUUACUUGGUCUUACUGUUCUUUCUAUUUUCCUACAUAUUCUUAAUGUUCGCUAAUAUUAAUGUUAAAAUCAUUUCUAAAUAAUUUUGUUUAUGUGUUUGCUUUUCGAGCAUUCAUCGAUUCGACUAGAAUACCGCAGAACAAUGCGCUAAAUCUGCAACGAAUAUGUCGAAAAAUGAUUACAAUCGUUUUCUAUACUAAUCACUUUAAAUCCCGACUUUAUUCCGCAUCAAAGAACGCAGUUUUCUUCUAUUGGACCAUGUCGAAGCGCAACAAGCAAAAUGCCGUCUGAGUAAAAUGGAUUCCGCAAAAGCGGGUGCUGUUGAUUCGCACCACAUUCGCAACAAACGUUGCUCGAAUCCCGGGCGACCCAAUAGUAAGGUUGUGGUUCGAAUAUUGGAAAAAAAACGCAUCCGGAAAAGUUUCGGCAAUUGAAUGCAGUCGCAGAAAGUGGCACGCCGGCGGUACGUGCGCUAUAUCCCCUUCUACCACCCCUCCUGUGCUUUCGACUAUUCAUCCUCUGGCGCGAGACUACUUCCGAGCUGGAAUCUGCAUAAUUGUACGUCACUGCUUUCAAAAUGCAUUUUUCCUUUCGUGCCGUUAAUUUUUCGCAUUAACAUCCUUGAAAAUUAAAUGCGAUUUAUUGAACAUUUACACAAACAAUUUUUAUAAGCUAUUAAAUUAUAAUAUAUAAUAAUAAUACGGCGUGCAGAUGAGCUUGCGUAUAACAAACAAGCGAGUGACUUCUUCAACGAAGAUUUUACGAUUAUGUUGGACGACCAACACUUUCAAGAGAAUAAAUUCUUUAACAGAAAUAUAUAUGAUAUAUAUGUGAUUAUAAAUGUGACUUUGUCAGUUAGCGUCUGUAUACGAAUGUCAUUUUAUCGGCCUAGAAAUUUCAAAUUUAUUUCCAACUUCAAAGCGCCAAUGGUUGAACGAUCAAUACAGGUAUUUUGUUUGCAAGGCAAAAGUUUGCUUCAACUGGGAUAUUUAGGAAAUACUCCAUGUUCUACAUUGACAAAGAAUUUACUACAGUUUUAUGGUUCCGCCAUGUCCAAGGCAAUAUCCAUAACGUUACCAUAAAACCGUAAUACCGAUAAAAAUCGGAAAUCUUUGAUUUGGGUGGACUUCGAGAAGUUUAGACCCGACGAUUUGGAAUCCAUUUUUCGUUCGAAAUAUUCCGAAAUACACGUAAAGCAGUAAGAAAACAAAACUAAUCCGUUAACGUUUCACUUUUAUUUUCAAUCAUUUUUAAUUCAGUUGUUAAUUAUAAUGCGAUUUGAUACGUUUGCGUUAUUAGAGACCGUAUUUAAAUAAAAGUUACAUAAUUCUAUUUAAAAAAAUAAUCGAACAAUUUUGUUACUCGAUGAUAUUUUUUCCUACCGUAAUGUUGAUUUCAUGUUUUGUGAUACAGUGUUUGAUAGAGGCGUGAUCGACGUUCGAGUUCGAUGUGGAAUAACGCCCAAUAGAAUUUUCCCCGCGAUGUUUUGCAGUGAGUUCCGCAUAACAGUUAUUCCAAUAAAAGAGAAAAGGAAUUGUGCGAUACCGUUUCCGAUGGUGCCCUUUGUGAAAAUCGCUCGCGCGCGCGCGCGUUCUAUUUGUAUUCCAUUUUCACCGCAAAUUUCACGCGCACAAAAAUUCUAUUUAAUACAGUGUACAUGUACAAAAGUCUAUCAAUUGUACGUUGAAGUUGGAACGCGAGAAGUUGUUAAACGGAAGAAGAGAAAAUAACGAAAAGCCGUCGGAAGUGUGUAUUUAGGUUCGCGAUUGCGGAAAGGUUGAAUCACCACGGCAGGUUGUGGUGAACUAUCCAUAAAUAUCGAUUUCCGAUGAAUUCCAUCGCAUUGCGCUUCUCGCAGUUGUCAUGCGGCAUUUCUUAAGACCUUUAAGUCCACAAAGCUUGUUAUGUCGAUCUACGGCCGACAUCGGAGUGGCAAGAAGUAGAAAAUGUCGGACGAAGGGAAGGUGGAAUCUGCUCGGAGGCAGCGAGUCGAGGACCGGCAGGACGGAAAAUUAUGAUCCACUCAGGGCAAAUCCCUACUCUAUUUCUGGCGGACAAAAUCCUUGAAGUUUCUGGCAGCGUUUAUCACAAAACUCAGGGAAAAAAAAAAAGAAAAUACACAAGAAAAGCGUGGUGUUGAGUAUGCGCUAUACUGAAGGAAAAGUUUAGUGGCUGCUUACGGGCCCGUAUAAAAUUCGAUAGGAGUAAUUCAGAGUGUUGAAGUUAGAAGUAAACUUUCGAAGACAGGUUUUCGUUCAAUUAACGCAAUUCUAAUACGCGGUAAACGUCUCCCGCGACGAUGAGGAACCAUUUGAAUUGUCAACGCGGACAUUAUGACGCUUUUCUCUGUCCAGUGCACAAUGUAAAAAAAUCUAUUAAACAAAAAAAGGGUAAAAGUAUUGUAUUAAAUUUAUAAAUGCAUCGUUACAUGAGCAUAAUGGAAAAA